rnacentral:ribozyme from 13 species
CUUCUUUUUUUGUUUUUUCUUUUCUUUUUUCUUUUUGUUUUU